GAUGAACGCUGGCGGCGUGCCUAAUACAUGCAAGUCGAGCGAACAGACGAGGAGCUUGCUCCUCUGACGUUAGCGGCGGACGGGUGAGUAACACGUGGAUAACCUACCUAUAAGACUGGGAUAACUUCGGGAAACCGGAGCUAAUACCGGAUAAUAUAUUGAACCGCAUGGUUCAAUAGUGAAAGACGGUUUUGCUGUCACUUAUAGAUGGAUCCGCGCCGCAUUAGCUAGUUGGUAAGGUAACGGCUUACCAAGGCGACGAUGCGUAGCCGACCUGAGAGGGUGAUCGGCCACACUGGAACUGAGACACGGUCCAGACUCCUACGGGAGGCAGCAGUAGGGAAUCUUCCGCAAUGGGCGAAAGCCUGACGGAGCAACGCCGCGUGAGUGAUGAAGGUCUUCGGAUCGUAAAACUCUGUUAUUAGGGAAGAACAAUUGUGUAAGUAACUAUGCACGUCUUGACGGUACCUAAUCAGAAAGCCACGGCUAACUACGUG
rnacentral:rRNA from 1 species